rnacentral:rRNA from 1 species
GACAGAGGUCCCGAGCGUUAGGCGGAAUCACUGGGCUUAAAGCGUGUGUAGGCGGCGGCCUAAGUACCUUGUGAAAUCCCACGGCUCACCCGUGGAACUGCUCGGUAUACUGGGUCGCUUGAGCCACUUAGGGGCUACCGGAACAAAUGGUGGAGCGGUGAAAUGCGUAGAUAUCAUUUGGAACGCCAAUGGUGAAAACAGGUAGCUGGGAGUGUGCUGACGCUGAGACACGAAGCCAGGGAGCAAACGGG